UACGGAGGGGGCUAGCGUUGUUCGGAAUUACUGGGCGUAAAGCGCACGUAGGCGGCUUUGCAAGUCAGAGGUGAAAGCCCGGGGCUCAACCCCGGAAUUGCCUUUGAGACUGCAUCGCUAGAAUUGUGGAGAGGUAAGUGGAAUUCCGAGUGUAGAGGUGAAAUUCGUAGAUAUUCGGAAGAACACCGGUGGCGAAGGCGACUUACUGGACACAUAUUGACGCUGAGGUGCGAAAGCGUGGGGAGCAAACAGG
rnacentral:rRNA from 1 species